rnacentral:lncRNA from 1 species
CACUGCAGACUAUUCAGAUAUUUUCUCUACCUUUCUUUAAUCUUGCUGCCAGGUGUUCAGAAGUGAUAUGAUGAAGCCAAAAUCUGACAUGACUUCCCACAGAAUUGUAGCAUUUCAAAGUUGAAAGAGAAUCUAAUUACCAUUUAUAUAUUUCUCAAGUGGAAUCAACUACUUUCUGAGAUAAUGAACCUUUCUGAUGGGGCUACAAAUAGACUUGCAAAUUCUCCAUCAAAGCCCAUUCCAGCAGCUUCCUGCAUUUCUCUAUUUUGUGUUUUCUUUACGUGUCCCUGCAUGGCCCGUGGAAUGUCCAAAUGUUUCAGUGGUUGUGAAAUUUAUUCAGAAGUGAAGGAAUCAUUUCCCUUACUCAGAGUCUAUUUGGUGUGUUUAUUUAUUUCUCUUUAAGGCACUGCUCUCAUACUUUAAAAAAAUGACUCAGGAAUUCCUCUUUUUUUGUUUCCAGGCAGACAGCUUGAGCACAUUUGGAGAAUGAUGCCUUCAGGGUGACAAAUGGAGAGGCCCCAGAUAAUCAUCUGCUAUUUUGGCUCCUGAAAUUGCCAAUUAUAGGAUUGUAUCUACAGUCAAUUCUCAAUUUACCUACAUGUCGAUCAUUCACAGAAAAAUUUUAUUCCUUGACUUCCCCCUCCACCUAGCAGAUUUUGAGACAUGCUCCCCAAUUUCUCCUUUCUACUAACCAUUGUUCCCAUUUUUAAUGAGUGAAAUAGGCUCAGUUUGGUGAAUUUCUCCAGUAUUGCUCAGGCUCCUGGACUUAGGAAUAGAGAAAUCAAAUGGAAGGUCCUCUCCAGGGAAGAAGAUUAGGAGAUCAAAAUGGUAAGAGGUCAGGGGGUAAAGAGGGAAACAUUAAAGUAGCACAUCAUUGAGUUAGCGU